AUUAGCGACUGAAUUCUGUUUCCCGUAGUGACAGAAUAUGUGCAUUGAUAAAGGCAGUUGGUGUCUUAUUAAAGAAAACUAGUGAAUUAAAGAGUUUGGGACCAUAAAUGGAGAAGCUUACCGAAGAUAGGGCCUUUCAAGUGAAGGAGAGUAAGGAAAGAAGUUGGGGUAUUCCAAGAUGUGAAGAAUCCUGUCCUUAGUGUGGAAUUCAAGAUAUUGAUCAACUAUUCCCACAAGAAGAAGCAUUUGCCUCCAGGGUACCAUGGACGUGUGGCAAUAUAAAUCCAAAGGACAAUUGAGGCCUAGUUAAAAGUCACUUUCCUGCACAUUCAGUCUUAGAAUACAUUGUUUGCUAACAAUAGGACUCAAACUGAUUUACAUACUAAGAAAAAAAUCUGCUAUGGAAAUUAAUCUUAGGUGUCAUAUCAAUUAAAUGCUCUUUAUUACUUAAUUGUAAUGUUUUUAAUGUAGUGAAUAGGUUAGUUUGAAUAAAUUCACAAUUGUUUGAAAAUUUUGUUUGUUUAUUUUUUUCCUCCCUCCCUCGUAGGUUUUGAACUUUAGAUGUGACGUUAAACGUAGAAUUAACUUUAA